rnacentral:rRNA from 1 species
AUGGCCGCCUCCCACACCGUCUACUCCUUCCCCCAUCUCAUCACUAGAGAAGACAAGGCAAGUGGGAGGGAAAUCGACCGUGUAGGUCAGAUCCAUCCGCCACGACCUCGGCGGAGAUGGCCAAGUGGAUGGAGCGGACCUGCAAAUCUUCAAUCCAAGAGCCAGCAGCAGGUGAGGCAGAGAUGCCUGGGGCUGGGAGGCGACUGGAGCUGGAAGAGGGUGCUCAAGCUCGUGCUCCCCUGCCAGAGCAGCACCGGUCGGCCGUCUACAAGGUCAGGAACACGAGGUCGAGAUGGCGACAACGGCAAGGAGGAUGCCAAGGCGGCCAGGGCGUGGCCGGCUGCAGUACAGCUGGUCUGCAAGUUGAAGGUACUUACGCAGCCGGAGCCUGUUGUUAUUUGUGACCUGCACUACAUGGAUGUUUUCAGUCAGCAAGAUGAUUUGCUGUCUAUUGUGGGAGGCAUUCAGAAUCUGAUUUUGGUGUGGCAGGUUGGCACGUCGCACUGGGUGAAGGCUGCAGAUCAUGCACUCGAGAUCAUCCACAAAACAUCAGGGAGAGGUUCUGUCGGCUGGAGCUUGUGGGAGUAUCACGUCGUGAUCGAGACCUGGGCGACCAUCUAUAUGGGGCAGGUGCUAAUUAAUGGACAGUCCAAGGAUGAAUGGGAGAGGUGGCUGCUGAUUACGGUUUGA